rnacentral:rRNA from 1 species
GAUGAACGCUGGCGGCGUGCUUAACACAUGCAAGUUGAACGGAAAGGCUCCUGCUUGCAGGGGUACUCGAGUGGCGAACGGGUGAGUAACACGUGGGUGAUCUGCCCUGCACUUCGGGAUAAGCCUGGGAAACUGGGUCUAAUACCGGAUAGGACGAUGGUUUGGAUGCCAUUGUGGAAAGUUUUUUCGGUGUGGGAUGAGCUCGCGGCCUAUCAGCUUGUUGGUGGGGUAAUGGCCUACCAAGGCGUCGACGGGUAGCCGGCCUGAGAGGGUGUACGGCCACAUUGGGACUGAGAUACGGCCCAGACUCCUACGGGAGGCAGCAGUGGGGAAUAUUGCACAAUGGGCGCAAGCCUGAUGCAGCGACGCCGCGUGGGGGAUGACGGCCUUCGGGUUGUAAACUCCUUUCGCUAGGGACGAAGCGCAAGUGACGGUACCUGGAGAAGAAGCACCGGCUAACUACGUG